GCGCCGGGAGGGAUCCCUCGUUCCGGAGCUGCGGGGCACCGCCGGCCCCGGGGCCGCACGGGCCAGCCUGUCCCGGGGGUGGGAGCGCGGAGCUGCAGCUCCACGCGCCGCGGAGCCCGGGCACGGCGCGGCUCCCCCCUCCCGCGCCCCAUCCUUCGUGCUGCCCGGUGUCGCCUAUGCUGCAGGCGGGCCCCGCCGCCCCCCCGUCACCCUCCAGGAGCAGGUGAGCCACUGACUAACGCACAUUGUGCUCUCGGCGACUCCACUGUGCGUGUGACAGCGGCUAACCUGCUCCUCGGACAUCACUGUGCGGCCGCCUCCCCUCCCCGGACCCGCGCCUCGAAGCCUCGACGCCCUCCUGCCCUCUCGGCCAGCCAGGUGAGGGGCUCCGGCGUGCCUAGGAGUCGGCUCCCCCAUCGUUCGCCACUGUCCUGCCUCCAGCGGUUGCCCAUGCUCGGCUCUGCGGACCCACGAUGCGCUGCCGGGAGUGCCCCAGGAUCGGCCGCACUCGUACACGGGAGCGCGAAAAGAUGGAGCACUCCUGCAGCGGGGCUCGGUGUGUCCGGCGGGAGCGGAGAUGGAGGGAACGGGCCGCCUCGGCAUCCCGGCGUUGGGGACUGUGCUGGCUGAUGAGUUAACCCCGGGAGAUGCCGCUGGCAGGAGCAGCUCUGCAGGUCGCCUGGUGAGGCCUGUCCCAGUUCCCAUGAGCAGCACCAUGGUAUGAAUGCUUCCGACUUCCUCCUGCCAAUGGAACCAUCCUGUUCAGCUCCAGUAAGCUAAAGGAAGGGGUUGAAGUGAAGUUUGUUUGGUUUUGCCUUUUUUGUGUGUGUCUCCAGUAAGCGGGGGGAGCAUCCAGCUCAAUUCCUGUUUUUAACAUUCUUCUGGCAUGAUUCAAAACUAACCUGCUGUGCUGUCACCUGAAGUCUUCAAUAAAUGUGCAAAACCA